GUGUUUGGGCAUCCCAACCAGAAUCCCUAGCCAGCUUGUUCAGUGGUCAAGAAUCCUGGGAGUUGACGUUCAAAACACCUGAAGAGCCACAGGUUGAAGAGGUCUGCUCUAUAUCCUCAUGCACAACAAGUUGACCAUAAUCAAAUCCAUGAAUAUAAAAACUGCAAAUGUGGAGGGAAAGCUGUAAGUUAUUUUUAAAAUGAUGGUUCUCUGGGUUUUGUUUUGUUUUGUUUUGUUUUUGCUCUUAAUGCAUACUAGACCUCUGCUGCUAACCUAAUUACUAAUUAAGCAUAAUUUCUUGAAAUGUAGAAUAGAUUGCCAGUAGCAUUGAAUGGAUCAGCUACUAUAAUGUGGAUGCGUGUGUACAGUUUUUCAUUAUUCACCAGCAACUUGUUCUCUUAAUAUAAUGCAAUGACCAAAUAUCAGUCGGAGGACAGGAGUUGGCGGCAAUGCUGGUAAGACUUUGGCAUGUUGCAUGGUGCCCACACUGAUAGAUAUUUUAUUUUUAAAAAAAGAGUGACUGUGAAGUGUUUUCUUAUGCUUCCUGCAGUGGAUUCACUAUUGAGUUGGCUUCGGCGUUCACAGUUGUGAUAGCUUCCAAUGUUGGACUUCCUGUCAGUACUACACACUGCAAGGUCGGCUCUGUGGUGGCAGUUGGCUGGAUACGCUCCAAGAAGGCUGUUGACUGGCAUCUCUUCCGCAAUAUCUUUCUAGCCUGGUUUGUGACAGUUCCUGUCGCUGGCUUAUUCAGCGCUGGCGUCAUGGCAAUUCUAAUGUAUGGUAUCCUGCCCUUUGUCUGAUUUCGUUGUUGUUUCCAGGAAAGAGGGGAGUCUUUCUUUGAAAUAGAAGAAGGCAAGAUCUCUCCUUCGAGAGUGCUGAGCUCCCUAUUCAAACCAUACGCUACAGUUAGUCAACAAGGAUGUAUUCUCAGUAUCUUUAACAUCUGCUGUACAUAUCAUCUGUGUCAUUGGUUGACAUAACACGUGGUGCCGUUUUCUUAUAUAUUAAAGAAAUAUAUAUAUAUGCUUCUAGUAGGUAAAACUACCUUAAAUUAUAAGUGAGGUGAAAAUAAUUGCCUAGAAUUUAAUCUUUAGUAAAAAUGUGUACAUAAUGUAUCAUUUGGUGGCAAUUUUUAAAAUAUUUUAGAAGAGCUGGGAUAUUUGUCACUUUGAUAUAUGAUAAAGCAAGGUGCAAAAUGGGUGCAGUUUUUAAACAAAUGCUGUUUAAUGAUACUGGAGCAAAACCGCGCAGAAGUACAUUGGUUAAAAAAUGUGGUUCAUAUCAUUGUUGUGUAUAAUACUGUAUGAAUAUUGGUUUUAUAAAUACUUUUUAAAAAGUAGCUUUUUAAUGGUGCAUUUCCCUGAUAUAUUUUGGAUAAGAAAGUUUAGAAAGUACCAAAGAAGGGGAAUAGCUUGUCAGUAUUACAUUAUAUGUCUCUCCGUGUAUGUAUGUGCUGUUUGUCUCCCCUCCAUGUAAGUUUCGAAUUGAAAUUAUUUUCUGCCAUCAGCCAUCAGCAAAGCUGGGAUGAUAUCACUCCUGUUAACUGUAACUAGCAAAGUGUCGUAACGUUACAGUCUAUAUAGCAAAUAUUAUCCACAUGAGAUUUAGUAAAAGUUCGGCUUUAUGUGUUAAACCCCGAAUUGUCUUCAAACAUCUAUUCGUCAUCCCUUGUAUGUUAAUCCAGUUCUGCUCCCAUUUAUCAGCAAGUUCAGGGGGCAAAAGACGAGGAUUGAGCCCAUUCUGUUUGCUUCUCCUUUUGCCUCCAGUAAGUCUUAACUAUGCAGUGCCAACUGGGGAAUGAUGAUACCACGCACAAUUGUAGUCAUAUAUGCCCAGCAUCUAAACAAGUGGGGAACAAAUUGGGCUCAUUUGAGGUGUUAUCUAAUGUCAAUCUCCCAUGUUAGACGUGGCUAUUAUAAUGGUUAUCAUGCAGAGGAUUGAAACAGUCUUUUUGUAACAAAGGAACAACUAUAAGAUCUAAUUCAGAUGUUAACCCUGAGCAGAGUAAGAUCUGCUGCAGCAUAACUCUUCCUGCCUCCCAAUAAUAUCAGAUCUCUGCAGCUCCCGUGGAAGAGUCUACACUGCAGCUUCUUAUGCCAGUGUUGCUCCACUGCAGUAGUGCCAUAGGAAAAAGCUGCACUGUGGAGUAUCUGGUGUCACUAGGAACUUGAAGUGCUUUCAAACGUAACGUAUUGCUAUUGAUAAUGCAGACAGGAGUCCAAAAAACCCUCUUUUUGAAAAGGUAUCCUAGUUUGCUAGUCCUAUGAACAACAUUUAAUAAUGACACUACUGAAGAGACCUAGAAGGGUCUCUGGCCCUACAACUGCAACAUGUUGCAAUUCCUUAGACAUGCCUUGGAUGAGGUCUUUUUCCAGUAAUACGAGGGGUAUUUUUUAAGUAAGGUCCGUUGGAACAUAAGUACACAACGAAAGUUUAUUUCAAAAAAGUAAAUUUAUUUUCAGAAAGUACAUACUUCACUCUAUUUUUCGACAUAGUUGCCAAGUUUGUUCAAACACUUAUCAUAUCUCUGAACCAAUUUUAAAAUACCCUCUUCAUAAAAAAUUGCCGCAUGCUCCGAUAACCAAAUCGUGUGUAAUCAAAGAAGGGCGACCGGACAGCGUGUUGUCACGGCCAUCUUUGAAUUGUCGUACCCACUUAAGCACUUUGCUUUCACUCAUAACAGUAUCACCGUACACCUCACAAAUCUGUCGAUGAAUUUCUGCAGCAGGCAGGCUCCUUGCUGACAAAAACCGUAUCACUGAGCGAACCUCACAUGCGGAGGGUGAGUUGAUAGUCUUAAACAUUUUUAAAGCACAGAACAGAACCGUACAGGUUAGCUACAGAGCGGAAACUGAGCACAGUUGUUCCCGAGGCAUGCCAGUACACGACCCACGUGCUCGUUUCGGUAUACGCGCGAACUACUAGUGUCUACAACAAAACGGACCUUACUUAAAAAAUACCCCUCGUAUAAUAGGAUAGUAUUGCCCAACAGACAGCUAGUGGAAUCCAGUUCCUUCAUUUGCCAUGGAGUCUUUCAGUUUCUUGAAUAUAUCUGGUUUUUCAUACAGCUUUCAUUGGUUUCCAUUGGGCUUAUGAAACAAAUCUUUCAAGAGGACUGUGCUCCAUGGCAUCUAAAGACAUACUGUUGCGAUAGUUUUCAUGUUGGGUUUACUGGAUCAGGUUUAAGGAAAGCGUGUUUGGAGGAGAAUGGGAACCUAGACUUUUGAAAUGCUGCUAAAAUUUUGAUACAUGAGCUUUCUUGGUACACCAUUGUGAUCCUUUUUCAUUGGUCAUUCAUUCUAAAUUUCUAAUAAAAUAAUGCCCGAAAACUG